rnacentral:rRNA from 1 species
GGUUGAUCCUGCCAGUAGUCAUAUGCUUGUCUCAAAGAUUAAGCCAUGCAUGUCUAAGUACGUGCCUUUACAAGGUGAAACCGCGAAUGGCUCAUUAAAUCAGUCAUGGUUUACUAGACCGUUCUAUCCUACUUGGAUAACUGUGGUAAUUCUAGAGCUAAUACAUGCCAAGAGUCUCCUGCCCUUGUGGCUCGAGCGCUUUUAUUAGACCAAAACCAAUCGAGUACUUGUACUCGUUAGUUUGUGGUGACUCUGGAUAACUUUGAGCAGAUCGCAUGGUCUUUGUGCCGGCGACGUAUCUUUCAAAUGUCUGCCUUAUCAACUGUCGAUGGUAGGUUACUUGCCUACCAUGGUUGUAACGGGUGACGGGGAAUCAGGGUUCGAUUCCGGAGAGGGAGCCUGAGAAACGGCUGCCACAUCCAAGGAAGGCAGCAGGCACGCAAAUUACCCACUCCCAGCACGGGGAGGUAGUGACGAAAAAUAACGAUGCGGGACUCUUACGAGGCCCCGUAAUCGGAAUGAGCACACUUUAAAUCCUUUAACAAGGACCUAUUGAAGGGCAAGUCUGGUGCCAGCAGCCGCGGUAAUUCCAGCUUCAAUAGCGUAUAUUAAAGUUGUUGCGGUU